AUUGAACGCUGGUGGCAGGCCUAACACAUGCAAGUAGCGUGAGCGGCGGACGGGUGAGCAAUGUAUGGGGACUGCCUGUUGGAGGGGGAUAACUACUGGAAACGGUAGCUAAUACCGUAUACCAUCAGAUAACCCAUAUGGUAUUAGCUUGUAGGUGAGGUAACGGCACACCUAGGCGACGAUCCUUAGCUGGGAUGAGAGGAUGAUCAGCCGCACUGUGACUGGGACACGGCCCAGACGCCGACGGAGGCAGCAGUGGGGAAUAGGGCACAAUGGGCGCAAUCCUGAUGCAGCCGUGCCGCGUGUAUGAAGAAAGCCUUCGGGUUGUGAAGUACUUUCAGUCGGGAGGCGUUACCGACAGAAGAAGCACCGGGUAGCUCCGUGCCAGCAGCAGCGGGAAUUC
rnacentral:rRNA from 1 species